rnacentral:misc_RNA from 1 species
AAAGAUCGCAGCCUGCGACGGCGCCUACAGGGGUGAUACCACUCUCAACUAUAGAAGCUGUCGCAGGCUGCGAUCUUU